GUCUGACUGUUCAAGUCCCAUCGCAAUUCAUUGAACAAAUCUCUAUAUUUCUUCCUAACAUUUCAGUGUCCCUCAUGUACAUCUAGACAUCUCUGGAACACAGGAGUAAAUAAACAAAACCAUGUGGGACACUUCUGCUGUGUUAACAUUAAGGUGUGUCUGCAUACCUGCCAGCUCCACGAGGGAGAUAAACUGGGCUCUACACUGAAUCUCAGCAGUUUGCCACUGCUUCUGGGAAGCAUUAUCACUGACGGAGACAACUUCCCACUGCUGUCUUUUAAUGGGGUGGCCACAUCCACCCCAUUUACCCCCCACUGCCUUCCUCCCUUGCAAAACUGCUGUGACAGAGAAACCCACAAUUACCAGAAGCAAGGACCCAUCAUUACAUUUUCUUCAGUCUGUGUAAAUACUAAUUUUAAAACACAGGAAGUCCUUACGUUGUUGCCUAACUAUGCUCUUGAGGAAGGAGACAGACAGGGGUUAAAAUGUAGGCAGCUGAUGCUACCACCUUGACAAGCUUAGUUUCCGUACCAGUAACUUUCAGAAUGUGGUACAAAUUUAUCCUGUUGCCUCUCCUCAGACAGUGAGGUAACUGUCAUGAAGAGCAGCACUCAAUCAUACGUAAUGGGGCAGCCCACGCUUUUCUAAAAAAAGCUGCACAUAUUAUUUUGUAGUUUCAAUAUUAAAAAAAAAAUGCAUUUAUAGAUCCUAGCAAGUCAAUUUCUUUGUUUCAUUAUGAUUGCUAUCUGCACAUCCCGUUAAUUUUCUGUGCUGAAUACUGAGUCAGCAGCCUGAAGGUAAAGUGAAUGCUUUCUCAGGAAAGUUGAGAGUGUUUAUUUCUCCAGUAAUUUUUUUUAGAAAGAUCUCCCUUUACAGUUUGUCAGUAGAAACAGUAGUCAGAAGUGAAGGGUGGAUUUCAGUAGCUUUAUGUUGUAACUGGGGACAGAAUCUGGAUUGACAUGUGGCUAUUACAAGAUGUGUGUAAUUGAAAUCUUGUGGCAGAUUCUUUCUGUCACACCGUGCCUAGAAACAGCAAUUUCCAAAGACACGACCUUCAAGUGUUUUGGAAGAUUCAAACCGAAUAAGCAAAACAUGUAUUUUAAAUGCAUUGUUUUCUAACAGAGG
rnacentral:lncRNA from 1 species